rnacentral:lncRNA from 1 species
CUCCCAGCGCGCGGAUCUCUGCCGCUAAUCUCCUGGGGAGGCUGUGCUCUCAGCUUAAGCUCUCAGAAAAAAUAAGAGACAAGGUCUGACUCUGUGCAGUGGAGUGCAGUGGCUCAAUCAUAGCUCACUCCAGCCUCAGACUCCUGGGCCGAAGUGAUCCUCCCACCUCAAGCUCCUGAAUAGCUGGGACUACAGGCAACAAGCUCUGCCAAUUUUUUCUUCGAAGAGUUUUGUUCCAAGCUGGGAGCCGUGGCUCAUGCCUGUCAUCCCAGCACUUUGGGAGGCCAAGGUGGGUGGAUCACUUGAGCCCAGGAGUUCCAGACCACCCUGGGCAACAUGGCGAAACCUCAUCUCUACAAAAUUUUUUUUUUUAAUUAGCUGGGCAUGGUGGCAUGUGCCUGUGGUUCCAGUUACUUGGGAAGCUGAAGUGGGAGGAUCGCUUGAGCCCAGGAGGUCAAGGCUACAGUGAGCUGUGAUGGUGUCAUUGCAUUCCAGCACUCCAGCCCGGGCAUCAGAGUUAGACCUUGUCUUAAAAAAUAAAUAAAUGAAUAAAUAUAAAUAAAAAAUAAAAAGCUUUUACAG